UACGAAGGGUGCAAACGUUGCUCGGAAUCAUUGGGCGUAAAGCGCACGUAGGCGGCUUUGCAAGUCGGAUGUGAAAUCCCUCGGCUCAACCAAGGAAGUGCAUCCGAAACUGCAGAGCUUGAGUACUUAAGAGGAUCGCGGAAUUCCCGGUGUAGAGGUGAAAUUCGUAGAUAUCGGGAGGAACACCAGUGGCGAAGGCGGCGACCUGGACGGACACUGACGCUGAGACGCGAAAGCGUGGGGAGCAAACAGGG
rnacentral:rRNA from 1 species